CCUACGGGAGGCAGCAGUGAGGAAUAUUGGUCAAUGGCCGAGAGCCUGAACCAGCCAAGUCGCGUGAGGGAAGAAUGUCCUAUGGAUUGUAAACCUCUUUUGUCAGGGAGCAAUGUCACCCACGUGUGGGUGUUGGAGAGUACCUGAAGAAAAAGCAUCGGCUAACUCCGUGCCAGCAGCCGCGGUAAUACGGGGGAUGCGAGCGUUAUCCGGAUUUAUGGGGUUUAAAGGGUGCGUGGGCGGGGGAUCAAGUCAGCGGUAAAAUCGUGGGGUCCAACUCCAUCCAGCCGUUGAAACUGUUGUUCUAGAGUGGGCGAGAGGUAGGCGGAAUGCGUGGUGUAGCGGUGAAAUGCGUAGAUAUCACGAAGAACACCGAUGGCGAAGGCAGCAUACUGGCGCAUGACUGACGCUGAAGCACGAAAGCGUGGGUAGCGAACAGGAUUAGAUACCCUGGUAGUC
rnacentral:rRNA from 1 species